UACAGAGGGUGCAAGCGUUGUUCGGAAUCAUUGGGCGUAAAGGGCGCGUAGGCGGCCCGGUAAGUCAGAUGUGAAAUCCCUGAGCCCAACUCAGGACGUGCAUUUGAAACUGCCAGGCUAGAGUGCAGUAGAGGUUGGUAGAAUUCCCAGUGUAGAGGUGAAAUUCGUAGAUAUUGGGAGGAAUACCGAUGGCGAAGGCAGCCAACUGGGCUGCAACUGACGCUGAGGCGCGAAAGCGUGGGUAGCAAACAGG
rnacentral:rRNA from 1 species